AUGGGUGGUAUCUUUGGCAAGAACAAGAAGCUCUGUGUGUUUCCCAGGAAAGUUGUUUUUCGUAAGGCCAAAGGAAAGAAGACAUCAGGAACUGCACACAUGUCCCACGAUGCUUCAACAUGGACUGGAGAGAACCAUUUUCAUUUGGCACGUAUAAGAAAGACCCCAGAAAGCCCUGAACCUUCUCUUUCAGAAUUAGAUAUUCCUGAAGGUGAAUCUGCUGCCCAAACUCAAAGGGACACAGGAGAUCUGGCUGCAUCUCUGCAUGCACAGCACACUGAGGGCCCACUCUCUGUUUCUGCUAGAGAUGCACGAGAUGGUGAGGUGCCACAGGACCUUGAAGCCAAACCUAGCACAGAGGCGACACAACAUCAGGAGCCUGCUGAACGGAUGAAACAAGAAGCCCACUCUGCCAGGAGAAGUCUACAAGAGAUCAGUGAAGCUCAAGCUGUGGAGCAGCCUACUGGUGGCCAUAAACCCAGUGAGCAACUCAGCUGUGAGGAUCAUAAAGCAAGAUCUCCUACACAGACUACAGUAAAGGCUGAUGUCCAUGUGUGUGCAGAAGUCCAAGAGGGACCCAGUAAAGAUCAGCCUGCCCUAGUGGAGUCUGAGCAGCCGCAUCAUGCAGAAGAAGAUGCCACAGUUUCUUGUGUUUCAGAAGAAACUUGUAAGGAACAGAUGCAUGAGGAGGUGCCUGUGGAGAGGGCAGCGGAGUCCCCAGCUGCGUUGUGUAACGUGGGGGAGACAGAGAUGCCUCUGAAGACCACAGAGACAAGAGGGGGCAUCACAAAUAUGCAGAGAUCUGCAGAAAAGCAGACAGUGGAAGAAAAAGCAUGCUGUGCUGCUAAAGCCCCACCUGAUCUCCAGCUGGAACAAGAUGCAGAGGUUGUUAUUACUGAGUAUGUGGAAGAAAAUGCUUCUGAGUCAGAGCAAGCUGGAGAAAUGGCUGAGGUUGGUGAUGACGGGCAAACAUCAAAAGAGAUCCCAUGCUGUCUGGCAGAAACUCCAACUGCUCUGCAGGAUAAGGAGAUGAUUAAAGCUAGCAAUGGGGGAGAACCAGCCUGCUGCAGAGACCUGCUGAAAGAGCACCUGAAAUGUGAUGCAGAAACCACCGAGCAGGCUCAGGGUUUGUCUGCUGCGGAGUGA
rnacentral:lncRNA from 1 species